GAGGGUAUAGCUCAGUGGUAGAGCAUGUGCUUAGCGUGCACGAGGUCCUGGGUUCAAUCCCCAGCACCUCCA
rnacentral:tRNA from 1 species